GCCGGGUGCCGACUCCUGUAUAGCGACCUGAGACCUCUGGGUUCUGAGAUGGGGUGUCUGGGGUCUUGGUUCAAAGCCGGGGUCUCUGGUUACUGAGCAGCAGC
rnacentral:miRNA from 1 species